AAAGGAGAGUUUUUUCAGGCAACGGGCACAUUUAAUGCGCCACACCAACGAGGAAUACAGCACUCGAAGCCAAGGGUCUCACAUUUAGCGUGAAGAAGCAAGAAGCAGAAGUAAACAGAUUUUGUAUUACAAUGGCUGAAAUCUGUCCAAGUUGCGAUCAAUCAGUUUUCUCAGCAGAAAAGGCCGCGAUUAGUGGAAAGAAUGGCGAAGUUUGGCACAAGCAAUGCAUGAAGUGUAGCACUUGUAAAAAACGGCUAGAUAGCGUGACAUUUAACGAACAUAAAGGACAACUCUUCUGCAAGGCUCACUACAGCAAAGAAAUCGGGGCUAAAGGUUACGGAUUUGGACAAGGCGCAGGAACAUUCCACUACACGGAAUAAAUGGACGUAAAUCGUAGUGAUAUGCAUCGAGGUUUAUUUUGUAUAGAUUUUAAGGGAAUUAUCGAAACUGUCUAUGUUCCUUGUCAAUUGCUGGAGUAUUAAUUGCUUUAUUGUAACUAAUGCUAAAACACAAAUAAAACAUUUGUUUUUAGAGUAAA